rnacentral:tRNA from 1 species
GCCUGGGUGGCUCAGUUAGUUCAGCAUCUGACUUCUGCUCAGGUCGUGAUCUCAUGGUUCGUGAGUUCGAGCCCCACGUCGGGCU